AGUAAUACAUCGGAACGUGUCCUGUCGUGGGGGAUAACCAGUCGAAAGACUGGCUAAUACCGCAUGAGAUCGAGAGAUGAAAGCAGGGGACCGCAAGGCCUUGCGCGAUUGGAGCGGCCGAUGUCGGAUUAGCUUGUUGGCGGGGUAAAAGCCCACCAAGGCGACGAUCCGUAGCUGGUUUGAGAGAACGACCAGCCACACUGGGACUGAGACACGGCCCAG
rnacentral:rRNA from 1 species